ensembl:lncRNA novel transcript
UGCGUAGGAAUGUGGUUAACGGCCAGAUGUCUGACAGUUCUCCGACUUCUGGGCAUUCCACGUAGGACGCUUUCUCAUGAGUGUCUGAAACCGUCAGUUCACUGCCAGAAAUGGAGAUACAUGUUUCCUGAUAAACUGGCACUUGCCUUUUCAAAGCCACCAUUUCCUCUAUCCUCUGGGCUGUCACAAAUCCUCCUCUGCACCUCAGGAGUGCCCCUUGGAGCCACGUUCACCACUUCUCUGCCCCUGACCCAGGCUGGUUCCCAGGCCUUGGGGUCCUAGCGUGGACCUCCUGGAAGUAAUUAAUGCAGUUUUCCAGAUUAACUCGAAGUACCCCACGACUAAACGCUAAUGAAACUAGAGGAGGCACAGCUUCAGCUCCGUGCAGGAUGGAUGCACAAGAGCAGAAUCUCCAUGGGACGCCUUUCUGGAGCAUCAGUAUUACUGCAGGAUUUGGAAGAAACAAAUUCAAAUAAUUUCCAAAGUAAGACACUGGAAAUUUAAGAGGAAGCUGGAAACUCAUCUGCCUUUAAUACUUUUUUUUCUCCAAGAAAAAAAAAGAAACUCUAAGGAGAACCUAUUUUUCACUCUUCUAAGUAGUUAAAAUUAGAAAUCACAGCAAGUCAAUAGAAAGCUCUGCCUUGCCAGUCUCCUAAAUCACAAUAUGGCCUUGGUAUGGUUUUAUUUAUAUUUUUUGGACGGGUUUGUUGACAUGUUGGGUAUAAAAACUGGGGGGUUUGACCAAUUUUUGGAAGUUUUUAGCUAUUAGUUGGUGAUUUACUUUGUACCUCAUUUAAUUUUUCUGUCCCCUCUCCAACUUGGACUCAAUCACUCUACAGGUCUCUAAGACUCUUCAUUUUCUUUAAGCUUUUUCUCUCUUUUAUUCAGAAUGGGCAAUUUCUAUUGCUCUGUCUUCUGUUUCUAAUCUUUGAAUAAGCUCAAAAGUAUUUCUUUUAAUUUCCUUAUCUUCCUAUUGUUUCAUAAUUUCCAUUUCUUUGCUUAGGUUCCACAUCUCUUAAAAUAUUUUCCUUUACCCCCAUGAACAGAUUUAUAAUAGCUGCCUUUAAACAUCCUGAAUUAGAACACCUUGAAUAUCUUAGGAUCACUUCUACUGCCUGCUUUUUAAAUUGUGUAUGGAUCUCAUUUUCGUGUUUCCUCACACGUCUCAUGAAUUUUAAAGUUGUGUACUAAAACUGUAAAGAAUCAUUAUAGAGACUCUCAA